UGAGGAAUAUUGGUCAAUGGGCGAGAGCCUGAACCAGCCAAGUCGCGUGAGGGCAGACGGUCCUAAGGAUUGUAAACCUCUUUUUCAGGGGAGUAAAAUUAGAUACGCGUAUUUAAUUGCAAGUACCCUGCGAAUAAGCAUCGGCUAACUCCGUGCCAGCAGCCGCGGUAAUACGGAGGAUGCGAGCGUUAUCCGGAUUUAUUGGGUUUAAAGGGUGCGUAGGUUGUUUUGUAAGUCAGUGGUGAAACCUGGGGGCUCAACCCCUAGCAUGCCGUUGAAACUGCAGAGCUAGAGAUUAGAAUAGGUAGGCGGAAUGUAUGGUGUAGCGGUGAAAUGCAUAGAUAUCAUACAGAACCCCGAUUGCGAAGGCAGCUUACCGGGCUAUAUCUGACACUGAAGCACGAAAGCGUGGGUAUCAAACAG
rnacentral:rRNA from 1 species